UACGUAGGGCGCAAGCGUUGUCCGGAAUUAUUGGGCGUAAAGAGCGUGUAGGCGGCCGUACAGGUCAGCUGUGAAAACUCGAGGCUCAACCUCGAGACGUCGGUUGAAACCGUACGGCUAGAGUCCGGAAGAGGAGAGUGGAAUUCCCGGUGUAGCGGUGAAAUGCGCAGAUAUCGGGAAGAACACCCGUGGCGAAGGCGGCUCUCUGGGACGGUACUGACGCUGAGACGCGAAAGCGUGGGGGAGCGAACAGG
rnacentral:rRNA from 1 species